UACAGAGGUCCCGAGCGUUGUUCGGAUUCAUUGGGCGUAAAGGGUGCGUAGGCGGCGGGGCAAGUCUGAUGUGAAAUCCCGGGGCUCAACCCCGGAACUGCAUUGGAUACUGCCUUGCUAGAGUACUGGAGAGGGAACUGGAAUUUACGGUGUAGCAGUGAAAUGCGUAGAGAUCGUAAGGAAGGCCAGUGGCGAAGGCGAGUUCCUGGACAGUUACUGACGCUGAGGCACGAAGGCCAGGGGAGCAAACCGGG
rnacentral:rRNA from 1 species